rnacentral:rRNA from 1 species
GUCUUUUUGGUUAAUUAAUAUAAAGUCUGACCUGCCCACUGAAUAUAUUUUAAAGGGCCGCAGUAUUUUGACUGUGCAAAGGUAGCAUAAUCAUUAGUCUUUUAAUUGAAGGCUGGUAUGAAUGGUUGGAUGAGGUACAAGCUGUGUCAUAAAAAUUAGUUUUUGAAUUUACCUUUUUAGUCAAAAGGCUAAAAUGAAAUUAAAAGACGAGAAGACCCUAUAGAGCUUUAUAUAAUUUAUAUUUAAAUUAUUAAGAUUUUUUAAAUUUAAUUAUAUUAUUAUAUUUUGUUGGGGUGACAAUAAAAUUUAUAAAACUUUUAUUUUUAUUAAUCAUUUAUUUAUGUUUGUAUGAUCCAGUUUUAUUGAUUAUAAAUUUAAGUUACCUUAGGGAUAACAGCGUAAUUUUUUUUGAGAGUUCUUAUCGACAAAAAAGAUUGCGACCUCGAUGUUGGAUUAAGAGUAAUUUUGGGUGUAGAAGUUCAAAGUUUAAGUCUGUUCGACUUUUAAAUUCUUACAU